rnacentral:misc_RNA from 1 species
UACGGAGGGUGCAAGCGUUAAUCGGAUUUAUUGGGUUUAAAGGGUGCGUAGGCGGGUAAUUAAGUCAGUGGUGAAAGCCGACAGCUCAACUGUCGAACCGCCAUUGAUACUGGUUAUCUUGAGUAUAGUUGAGGCAGGCGGAAUUUACGAUGUAGCGGUGAAAUGCAUAGAUAUCGUAAAGAACACCGAUAGCGAAGGCAGCUUGCUAAACUAUAACUGACGCUGAGGCACGAAAGCGUAGGUAGCGAACAGG